CUUGACUUUUCCCGGUGGCCAGGCGGGCCCGCCGCAAGCCGCAGAUUUUUUUUUGCUUUGAACACAACACUGCCCUGUUUGCUGUGACAGCCAGGAGAGAGAAAGUAGUUGGCAGUUACACGUUUCGUUUGGCAUGAAGUACAUUUAUUGCUAAAUGACUUAGCAGCAAGAUGGACGGUGGAAAAAAGAGGAAGGGUGAAGCAGAGGUGAAAAAAGAGAAAAAAAGAAAGGCAAAAAUCAUCUCUGUGUUUAGGACAUGCGUAGUGCGAUAUCCGGUGACGAUGGUUGGCGGGCUUCUAAAUUCACCGACAGCAAAUUCACCGCCACUAACCGCUAACUGCUACUGCGUUUCUGCGGGCCCACUGGCAGUCAGACCCCUACCAUGCCUGUUAUGGAGUGGAUGACACCACCUGCCCCAUAUUGCCUCAGCCAGAUCGAUGACUUUUUUCCCCAUCCUCUUGAAAGGAGCAACUCUGCACCACCAUGGCACCAAGACAGUCCGAUACAGAGAAGGAAGGCUGAGAUGUGUACAACUCUGAUCCGACUGUAUGAGGUCAUCAGCAACAACAGCAGUCCUGCAAUAAGAUUCAUAACCAGCAGUUUUCUCUCUGCCGCAGAACCUGCUCCAGUCAGUACUGAUCAUUUUUACACUUGAAGCAGACGAUUCAUUCUUUAUAAAGGGGAGGCGUGGAUUAGUGACACAACCAGGAACGUCAUCAGGUGACGUCAUCAGGUGACAUAUGUCAUCUCUACAGUUUAGUCCUGUUAGCCUGUUUUUGUGUGUUCAACUGAUAGUAUUAAGUUUAAGCUCUCAUCACAGAUCACUGUUAAGUGUUAGAUUCUCUCUCAACGGUUCAUCAGAAUGCCCCAUUCCUCUGGAGGGUGUGGGAAAACUUGAAGAGACUGACUAAUAUUAGUGUUGUGUUUGCUUCUGAAGUUAGGGGGCAUAAUUGGGGAACAGCCUGAACUGUGGGCUCAAAACAUGUUGGAUUAUUAUUAAUGAUGCAUCACUCUGUAAGCAGCGUUUUAAUGUUGCAGCUGGUGAACGUCAAACUAAUUUUAACAACUUUCCCAUCUCUUAUAUUGAAAUCAUUUGAGAUGCGAAUCUUUUCACAACCAGUAUGAACAGGAGGAAUGAUUACAGCAACCAAAAACUGUUGCAAUGUACAUAUAGGUAUACAAGUAUUGUUUUAAAACAGACUUGAAGACUCAGAGCAGAGCAGGAAAAUAACACCUGCAGCUUCUUGCCAUUUUAGCUACAAAGGAGUGGAGGCUCAGCCUGAAGUCAAGCCUAGACAAGCGUCACAUAGACAAACAACACUGACAGAACUGUGAAGCCAGCUUUAGAUGCUUCUGCCUCAGAACGGGCUUUCAUACAGGAUGGAGCCUUUGACAAGUCAAGCUACAAGCAGCCUUAACCGUCUAUUCAAAAAGUAGAUUAAGUGGAAGACAGAGUGCAGUGAGACAAACUAACAAAAGUACCAUGAAGUUUAGACACUCCUUCCUAUUCACUUGAAUGAGAAAGUCUGUCCAAACUUUUGGCUGUUACUGUACUUUACCCAGUUUUUUUUUAACCAGAGGCUACUGUUGCCUCACAUAUUAGAGAACUUGAAUCUCACCCUUCAGGUGUUGUUGCUCAAGGCGAUGUGUGUUGUUCAUAUUAAAAAAGCUGCAGUGGCACGUAGCCGUGCUGUGAUUUGCCAGAAUCCAAACUGUAUUUCUUUGCAAAUCCCCACAUCUAGAUGACACCUUGAAUAUAAAGAGUUAACAUACUGUACUGUGAAUAAAUCACAAGACUGGUUGUCAUAUCUGCAUUGUUGUUAUGCAAGUAAGUAGGCCACUCACACAUUUUCUACAUAAUAAUUUGUUAUUGUGAGGAGAAAUCACUAUGGAUCACUGUCUGCCGAUCUGACACCAAAUCCACACACAAUAAUUAAGCUCUGGCAUACAAAACAACACAUGAAAGCAGCCCAUGAGCCAUAAUACACAACACAUUUAUAAACACUUAUAUCUGCUUACAAAUACAUUAUAGUGACGUUACCACUAUUGACUGAGUAUUCAUGCUAAAUAGGAGGAUUUCUGUCUGAGCCUCUAUAUGUUACAACUGUGACUAGAGGGGAAGUAACAUGAAACUAAAGCUUUAAAAAGCAAAUUAAAGUUUAUUACAAACAUUAAAUUAAAAGUAAUAAAAUGUAGAAAUAAAGUACUGUGAGGAGACUCUGCUCCUGCAUAAACACACACUACUCAAGACACAACAUCACCUCCACAACCAGACCAGACCUCAGAGAUGUGAUAAUGACACUUGCAUGUUUUUCUACCUGACAUGUUUUUUUUGUUGGAGUUUGUUGCCCUGUGUGUGACUCGUUUAUCACUAAAUAUAAAAUGGUCUGUAGAAAACAAGACUGUUUUGCUAAUAUUUGAUUUGCAUUGAGCGAGUAUUUCCCAUUCAUAGACUAACCUAUACAUUUCUGUAAACAUGGGUGCGGUUUUCAGUGGAAAGAACAUGCGGGAAGAAUGAUCAAGUGCAAAUAGUCAGUAUUCAUGGCAAUGUGAUGUGUGCCUCCCCCCUCCGCUGCACAAUACUCUGCUAUUGCUGAGGACACCGAAGCUCCUUGAGGUGAAAAGUAAAGCAGUCAUUUUAAAACGUCUGAAGGUGAUCUGCUUUUCUGUUGCUCCUCUUGAAACAACAUGGAUGAAUGAGCAAAAAUGAAUUCUGAAGUUCAACUAAAGCUUGUAUGAGUGGGAAUUUUCCAAAAUUUUACUGUUUUUAGGAGAUUUCCUGUUUGUAUUACUAUCCUUCCACCACAACUUAGCCAGGUAACACUGUCUGUGGAAACAAAGAGUCAUACUAACAAGACUGUAACUUUGAUCUGUCUAACUCUGUUGAAUCCUUAUAUUUGCUUUAUCUGAACUUAAAAAUGCUUUUUUAAACAGAACAAAGACUGUGGAUCUUCUUAAGACAACCAGUAUGAACAGGAGGAAUGAUUACAGCAACAAAACACUGUUGAAGUGUACAUAUACAAUGCUCUCAGGAAACAUCUGCAGAAGCCUCCAGCUGCUGGAGAAGUUACAUCUGAUCUCCCAUCCACACCACUCUCUGAAGCAGAUUUGUCUGCAGGUGAAGGAAGAACAGACACAACAUACACUGCUACUCUACAGCCUGCAGACACCAUCAACUGGAACAUAUCCUGAAGUAUGUGAGUCCAUCAAGGCAGCAGCUAUAGAUCCUGUCUGAUAUGAUGAGGACAGAGUUAGUCAGCAGAGGUCAUAUCAGGUAAAAUAAGACUCAACAUUCCCAAAAUGAGAGGAUGGGAGAAGUUCCCAUCACUACCACUUUACAGAAAAUUAGUGAAUGGAGAGAAAAUCAACACUGUGGAAUCACAUGCACGAGCCUCAUUUGCUGUCACAGUGAGCCAAAAAUGGAUGUAAAGGUCUUUAAACCUCCGUUUGUACGUCAACAGUUGUGUCCGUUUCCGCUCAUCAGACCUCAGUGAGAAUUACGCACAGGCUCUCCAACAGCUGAUCAUUACGCACGGCUGCUGUGGAUAUUUGAAACGACUUUACCCCUAAUUCAUCACAUUUUUCUGCAAACCGUCACCACUGUAAAGUGUCAGUCAUCAUUAUUAAACAUCAGAAGAAUGAAGUGAUCGGGGGGGGUGGGGGGGCUAGAGCCGGCCCUGGGCAUAGAUUGAGUAUCAACUGUUCACUGGCUCAUCACAUCUAUCCCAUAGCACGGCGACACACCUUCACUGUUAGCGUCAUCUGUUUGCUGUCUUUUUAAAUAUGUCUUUCUCUUUUCCUGCAUUAGUCAUGCAGCUGUUAUGCGCGCCCCUCCACCUCCCCAUCUCCACCCAGUUUCCACAGGAUUAUCAUCAAAAGUUACCAGCAAUGCCUGGACUCCAUGUUUAUUUAUCUCACGGCUGCUCAGGGAUGACAUCACUGUGGAGUCCAAGUGCCAAAGACUUUUAUAAUAAACAUGAUCUUUUCUCCAUUCACUUGUCUUUUCUGAUUGAACUGAUAACUGAUGUAAUGCAGCAAUAAAAGCAUGACUUCUUUGGAUCUUUUCAGUCAGGACACUCAUGUCGAGAUUUUAACCCUUUAUUGUAAAAACGUGAAUUGUAGUUUGGUGGUGUGGCUCUGCUCAUGUGAUGCUCUGGAACAAAUCAUAGCAAGUUUGGCAAAGACAGAGCUCACAAACCCCCCUCUGGCAGAUACACAACAUUUUAUAAACAUGAGCACAUUUAAAAGGAAUGUUCACAUUCAACAUCACAAACAACUGAAGACUAAUACAGGAGGAGGCUGGUGAGGUGGAGGGAGGUUUCAGGCAGCAGUGACCAGCAAAGACAGAACUCAGCAUUGUUCUACACAGACUGAAUGAGUGCCAGUGUUUAUAUAUCUAUGACUUCAGUGCUUUCCUGAACUACCGUGAGGCUUGAUUUCACUGCAUCAGCAGCUUUAAAAUGUUAGAACAAGUACACAGAAUAUGUAGUAUGUGAUACAGUCAUACAGUGAAAAAAACAUGAUUAUAAGGUACAGAAAAACCAGGAGAAAAUAAAAAAAUUCAGUUCUCAAUACAUCACUAUAAAUUAUAUUCAUCACCAAUAAAAACUGUAAAAGAUUUAUAAAAACUUGAUAAACAAACUUUAUUUUAUACAGUACAUUUGAUAAGAAAAAAACAUGGAAAAAGACAUGAAAAAAGUAGAAACGUUCAUCCAUUCAACAUGUAAAAAAACAAUGAACACAUCCAGCAGUUACGGAGCAACAUUAUUAUUCAUUUGGAGUCACCACCUGGUGAAUAUUUCCCACUGUUAGUCCUGUUAUCCUGCACAUUUUUAAUAAUCUCCUGACCUCUGGUUCUUUUCCUAAUAGUUUUAAGCAUGCCAUUGUCCACCCUCUGCCUAAAAAACCCAAUUUGGACCCUCUGUCCUUAAGCAACUACAGGCCCAUCCCCAAUCUGUCUUCUUUAUCUACGAUUCUGGAGAAAGUAAUUUAAUCUCAAUUGAUUUCUUCUAUGAAUAGCAAUAGUGUUUUUAACUGCUUCCAGUUUGGUUUUAGACCACUUCAGAGUAUCGAGACAGCUCUUGUUAAGGUAACUAAUGACCUACUUCCAGCUGCAGACAGGGGUGAUUGCUUGAUUUUAGUCCUUUUAGACUUAAGUGCAACACUUGACAUUGUCAACCACAGUAUCCUCCUAAAUUGCCUAGAGACUUGGGUUGGCAUCAAGGGCCCAGCUCUUACUUUAUUACGAUCAUACCUCCUGAAUAGAACUUUUUCUGUUGCUCUGGGUAACUCCACCUCCACAACGGCUCAGUUGAAUUGUGGGGUCCCUCAAGGCUCAGUUCUUUCAGCUCAAGCAUGGACAAGCUUCAUGCAGGCAAACAACACUGACAGAGCUCUUAAAAAAAUAAGCUAAUAAUGGCAAACAUUAACAGCUUUAGAUGCUUAAUUAGAUUUCAAAACAGUCUUCAAUAAAGGAUGGACCCUUUGACAAGUCAUGUGACAAACAGCCCUUAACCUUAAGUGGAAGACAGAGUGCAGUGAAACGUGUCUUUCCUUCAUCCAGUUAUUUUCUCAGCAGCUCCUGCUGCUGCAGAGUUGAACUUGAAAAGCAUCCUUUAGGUUUUGCUGCUUGAGACCCCAGAUAACAUACGGAAGUGGGCCACUUCAAGCAAUAAUGCGGCACUGCUGGCCUUCUUCUGGCCCGGACAAAAUGGAUGUGAGCCUGAAAUGGCCCACAUGUAAAAUAGCAAAUAUGGCCCAAAUUUCCCAAAUCAAAUGUUGGCCUUUUUUGGUAGAGAUGCGGUGCUCUUAGGUAUGUAUAUACCAAGAUCUGGGCCACAGCAAUUUUGCCAUCUGGGACAUGAACCUCCACCUGGCAACGGGUGUUGGUCACAUUUAACAUUGCAGUGACAGGCUUUGUAGCAGUGCUGUGAUUAUAUAUAUAUAUAUAAUCGAAAGAACAUUUCCUUGAAAAUCCCCACAUCUAAAUGACACCUUAAAUACAAAGAGUUAACAUGACUGUAAAGGAAGGAAUUCUGUACCGUGAAUAAAUCUGUCUGUCUGUUUUGGAGGCGAUAAAUGCUAUGGAUAAUGACUAUUUGCACCUGAUCAUUCACGCAUGCGGUUUUUGGCGGAAAGAACAUGCGAUGAGAAUGAUCAGGUGCAAAUAGUCAUUGUCCAUAACAAUGAGAUAUGUGUCCCCAUCACAAAGAGUCAUACUUAACAAGACUGUAACUUCGAUCUGUCUAACUCUGUAGAAUCCUUAUAUUUGCUUUAGCUGAACUUAAAAAUGCUUUAUUAAACAGAACAGUUACUGUGGAUUUUGCCCUCUAUCUCGAGAUGGGGAUCCCUUCACCUCCAGUAUGAACAGGAGGAAUGAUUACAGCAACCAAAAACUGUUGCAGUGUGUAAGGCUCACAACAGAACUCUGUCACUUGAGAGGAGGAAAUUGCUACUAUAUACACAUUAUAUAGUAACAAAACCUAUCCUAUCAUCAGUUUCAUAAAUUGUAAUACUACCCAUGUCUUGUACUGACUUGAAUGCAUUUGUUGCUGUUUCUAUGUAGACCUCACUAAAAGGAGGCUGAGGGACAGAGUGGCUGAACAUAGGUAUGCCCUUCAUACUGGGAACUUGAAUUAUCUUAUGGCCAAACACUACAUGGAAGCACAACAUGAGACUGAUUCAACUGUAAGACUGUCAGGUAUUGAAGUUAUCAGCUCUGAUGCCAGGGAUGGGGACUAAAUCAAAUGCCUCAAACAAGGAGAGGCAUAUUUGAUCUAUGCCCUUAAGGGCUUUGACCUCUCAUAUUUCUAUUAUAAGUCAUUAGCUUGGUCCUAAAUUAGGGUCAUUGUUUUUUGUCUCUUUGAGGAGUUGACAUUCCGAAAAGUUUUUUCCUUUUAAAGGUCCCUAAAGUUUGCUCAACUAGGUUUCCUCAUUGAAGGUACUAUACAUUAAUAUCAUUAUUGCUUGAGUGCAUCUGUAAUGGUGGUUUUAUUUGAUUGACUAAUGUUGACCUAAAUGUUGUAUUUUUAUGUUUGUUUUCUAUAGUUGAUUUUAUCCUCCUUUGUCUUCACCAUCCUUUGCAAGGAAAGUGUUUUUUAACAGCCUGUAAGGUCUUAGUUUUGUGUUUCCUGUGUUGUAUUUGUUGUCUGAUGCCCUAGUCACCUUUGGUGACUGCAACUGUAAUUACUAUUUCUUUGUGUCUCCACACCCUAAAGAAGGUGGAAGCCAACAUGUGUAGGUGUGUUUUUUAAUGACUUUAGCCCAUAGAAAUAAAGGAGCUUUUGUUCUCCUCUGCUUGAUAGAAGGUCAGAGUCAGUCACAGGAAAUGUUCCUUAAGAGGAGAGACAGAAGGGAAAAGUGUGGCACAAGAAUUAGUGUUUUCUGCACAUUUGUUCACUCUUUAAAUCCCCCUCCAGUAAAAAAAUGGUCUUUGCUU